UACGUAGGGGGCGAGCGUUGUCCGAAGUUACUGGGCGUAAAGCGCGCGUAGGCGGGCAAUUAAGUGAGAAGUGAAAGGCUGGGGCUCAACCUCAUGCAGUGCUUCUCAUACUGGUUUUCUUGAGGGCGGUAGAGAAAAGUGGAAUGGCUGGUGUAGCGGUGAAAUGCGUAGAUAUCAGUCGGAACACCGGUGGCGAAGGCGGCUUUUUGGGCCGUUCCUGACGCUGAGGCGCGAAAGCCAGGGGAGCGAACGGG
rnacentral:rRNA from 1 species